rnacentral:rRNA from 1 species
AUUCCCUCAGUAACGGCGAGUGAAGUGGGAAAAGCUCAAAUUUUAAAUCUACCUGGUACCCCCAGGUCGAGUUGUAAUUUGAAGAAGCGUUUUCGGUGCUUCGGUCUGGUCCAAGUUCUUUGGAACAAGGCAUCACGGAGGGUGAGAAUCCCGUGCAUGAUCAGAUUCGAAGUAUCAACCAGAUACGCUCUCGAAGAGUCGAGUUGUUUGGGAAUGCAGCUCAAAUUGGGUGGUAGACUUCACCUAAGGCUAAAUAUCAGCGAGAGACCGAUAGCGAACAAGUACCGUGAGGGAAAGAUGAAAAGAACUUUGAAAAGAGAGUUAAAUAGUACGUGAAAUUGUUGAAAGGGAAACGAUUGAAGUCAGUCGUGCCGGCGAGAAAUCAACUUAACGGGUUUUGGGUUUCUUGGGUUGAGUCAGGGUCAAACCGUCAUCUCCCUUGACUUCGAGAUUUGUUGGGUGUACUUUCUCGCUUUGGCAGGUCAGCGUCGAUUUCGUGGGUCGUAAAAUAACUGGGGGAAAGUAGCUCCCUUCGGGGAGUGUUAUAGACCCUGGGGGAUGCGGUCCGCGGGAUCGAGGAUUGCAGCAAAUGCUCUCGGGCUCGUCGCCUAUCACCUGGAAGUCGCCCCGCGGGUGACAACAUUCUUGACAUUCGUGGGAUCUUGACGACCACGGGUUAGAGCGUUCUGAAAUUUUGCUAAGGAUGC